rnacentral:lncRNA from 1 species
UUGCCAUAGAAGGGAGUGACAUAAAACCAGCCAAAAUCAAAAAACUGUAGCAGUUGCCUGUGAGCUUGCAAGAUGGAUUAAAAUCCCAAGGAGUUCCAGACUCAGAGAAGGUCUCCACCUAUCCACUAACUCUUUCCCAAGGGGUUCACCUAGUGUUGGGGAAUAGAAUGCUGAAGGCUGCAGUCACGGCAGGAGAAUGAAGACAAAUCCUAGCUUCCCAUGUUGAAUAAUGAAGUACUUUCAUAUCUGUGUGAUCUUCAUACUUUCUGCAGGGGCUUACCAAA